UACAGAGGGGACAAGCGUUAUUCGGAAUUAUUGGGCGUAAAGGGCGCGUAGGCGGCCUGGCAAGUGGAAGGUGAAAUCCCUCGGCUUAACCGAGGAACUGCCCUCCAAACUGCUUGGCUUGAGUCCGGGAGAGGUGAGUGGAAUUCCCAGUGUAGCGGUGAAAUGCGUAGAUAUUGGGAGGAACACCAGUGGCAAAGGCGGCUCACUGGACCGGUACUGACGCUGAUGCGCGAAAGCGUGGGGAGCAAACAGG
rnacentral:rRNA from 1 species